rnacentral:rRNA from 1 species
GAACGCUGGCGGCGUGCCUAACACAUGCAAGUCGAACGAAGCAUGAUUGAAGGAGACUUCGGUCAAUGGAUAUCAUGACUUAGUGGCGGACGGGUGAGUAAUACAUGAGCAACCUGCCUUUCAGAGGGGGACAACAGCUGGAAACGGCUGCUAAUACCGCAUAAUGUGCGAGAGGGGCAUCCCUUUUGUACCAAAGGAGCAAUCCGCUGAAAGAUGGGCUCAUGUCUGAUUAGUUAGUUGGCAGGGCAACGGCCUACCAAGACUGCGAUCAGUAGCCGGACUGAGAGGUUGAACGGCCACAUUGGGACUGAGAUACGGCCCAGACUCCUACGGGAGGCAGCAGUGGGGAAUAUUGGGCAAUGGGCGAAAGCCUGACCCAGCAACGCCGCGUGAAGGAAGAAGGUCUUCGGAUUGUAAACUUCUUUUAUGAGGGACGAAGGACGUGACGGUACCUCAUGAAUAAGCCACGGCUAACUACGUGCC